rnacentral:lncRNA from 1 species
GGGCCUCGUAUUUAGACCUCGUAUAAAUACUCGAGGGACUUAAAUGUAAUUAUGUAAUAAAGGAAGGGGCAAAUAUGUAAUUAGGGGAGGAGCCCUUAUUCUAUAAAAGGGCAUCUUCACCCUCACAAACCGAAGGCCUCUCCUAUCUAGAGUAAAGCUCUCACACUUUUAGAGCUCUCUCUCUCCCUCACUUCUCAGAGAAAUAUAAUACAAUCAGUGUGGACGUAGCCCAAACCUUGGGGUGAACCACGAUACAUCUUGUGUCAUUUACAUUUCAUGCAGAUUCACGAUCGGAUUUACGUUGUUCCAAGACCUCCGGUUUUGUGCAUCAACAUUUGGCGCCGUCUGUGGGAAACGACACAAAAAAUUACGUCGGUUCUCUCUUAAUUUUUCACCUCCGCCGUGGAUCUGCAGAAACCAAGAACCCAAAACUUUUCCAAAAAACCCACGGAGCCACCUCCUCUCUCACUCCACUCCACAAAAACAGAUAAACUCAUCUUUCACACUGGAAGUUCAAAGAACACAGUAAUGAAUGGGGCUUCAAAUCAUUCAUGAUGCUCAGUGAACUUUGUGACAAGACUGCAGGUUAUCUCGUGAAUGAUAAAUGCAUUGUUGAAGUGAAGGUCCAUAUUCCAAUAGACCAAAGAGCUAAUGGUUUUGCAGAAUCUGCACUUAUGGAGACCAUAAAGAAAGAGCGUGGUGGGCAGGAACCCUCACAUGUGCAUUCGGUGCAUACUCCAGAAUCUUUUCCGACACCUAAGACACCAAGUUCAGAACCGCCGACUCAUUUCCAAGAAACAUCAGGUCUUGAACAAUUUUGCACUAAGGCUAUUGUUGAAAGCCUUCCUGACCCUUCUCUAGUCAAUGAGCUUUUGGAAAUUCCCACUUGACAAGGACUACCAAAAAAUGGCGGUGGCAGCCCCACAACAGCGAUCUUCCCAGGUCAAUUGCUCAGUCGCUAUAAAACGCGUCAAUUCCUCGUAUUUGCCUUUUCCCCUGCCCGCUCCUUCCAUCACCAAGUUCAAGGUCACGCCGUGCCAAUUGUCGGGGACGCAGGAGAGGAACAUUGCCCACUUUCGGAAAGCCACCGAGGACGCCGCCACAUCAGCAACUACGCCCUUAGCCUUCUCAGUCGUAGCCGCAGCCUCUGCCUGUGAAGACCGAGGCUUUCCCUCAAAAUGCUCCCACAUCCGCCCCAGAAACCCCCAAAAAGAGUGCUCCGUCUUCUGAAACCAGGAGAAGAGGGGGGGCCAGGGGGUCUUAACAAAGUCUGUGAUGUCUCACCUGAGCGUGAGGCUGUUGUUGGUGAACCAUCCUUGCCGAGGACUGAGAUUGUGAAGCAAUUCUAGGCAUACAUAAGGAAAAACAACCUCCAAGAUCCAGAGCAGAUGAGAAGAUGGGAGGGGGAAUAUGCUGCGCUCUACUCCUCCAGCUUUGCCAAAGGUACGGAGAUGAAUCGGGCGGCACCGAGGAUACCCAGGUUUCUAGUGAUCGGACACAGAGUGAACGGAAUGAACGCGCUAUAGUCGUCCGAUCGGAGAAUGAAAGCCAUUAAAGAGAACUCCAUCAUGUCCUUCAACACCGCCGCCAGAUUCCCCAUCGAUUUUGUCGAAAUCGAUGUUCAGGUAACCAAAGAUGAUUGUCCAGUCAUUUUUUUAGGUAACAGGAAAGUGUGGACAUGGGCGUACUGCUCCUCGACGAGCUGCGGAGACCUUCGAGGAACCUCAAGUCUGUCGGUGGUGAGAUCGGACUGCAAGGCCCAACAGAAGCACAUAGGGGACAACAGAAAAGCUAAAAGAAAAAUAAAAAAAAGAACUUGAUGAUUACUGGAGAUGGCAUGCAUAAUACAAUCAUCACUGACAGCCUCAAUGUUGUUGAUAGAGUAACCACUUUCAACUCCGCAACUCUAGAUGGAGUACACCAGCUUGUGAAAGGAAAAAGAAAGUAAAAGCAAAGCAAAGCAGCGCAAGGAAAGAGAAAGAAAAGCAAAAGAGCAAAGCCGAAAGCGUGGCUACCCUUUCAACAUGAGAUCUACGGUGGAAAAAAGCAAAGCACAAAGCAUGGCUACCCAGUGAGAUAAUUACAAAAACAGAAAAGAAAAGAGAAAGCAAAAGCAAUGAAUAAACACCCCACCAGAAUGAUGUGGUGUGGUUUACUUUUCUUGUUUUUGUAUGAUGUAAUUUAUUUUACGUAUCUUUCGGAAACAUCUGUAUAAACCACAUCAGAUGGUAAUAUGUAUUAAACCCUAUCAGAGGGUAAAAAAAAAAUAAAAAAGCCCAAAAUAAAUAGGCUGGCAUGUUGUGGAGGGCGAAGGCAUAUAAGCCCAAAAUAGCAUCAACCAGGUGAUCAAAAGUACGCCCAGUACUCCAAAAUUAUUCAGCAACCUACCGCUAUUACCACCAACUAGGUGAUGAAAUGUACAACCCGUACUCUAAUAUUAUUUGACAACUAGCCAUUCAUGCCACCAACCAGGUGAUGAAAUGUACAACCCGUACUCUCCUUCAUGCCACCAACCAGGUGAUCAAAAGUAUGUCCAGUACUCCAAAUUAUACAUGAGCAUUACUCAUGUCAUUCAUACAUAAACAUUCAUGAGCAUCACUUAUGACAAUCAUACAUAAACAUUCAUGACCAUCAUUCAUGUCAACAUUCAUAAGCAUCACUCAUGUUAACAUUCAUGAGCAUCACUCAUGACAACAUCCAUAAGCAUCACUCAUGUCAAUCAACAUAAACAUUCAUGAGCAUCACUCAUGUCAAUCAGCUUCAAAAGUUUCAUUUACAAAGCUCUAGCUUCAAAAGCUUAAUUUACAGAGCUCUAGCUUCAAAAGCUUCAUUUAUAAUAGCUCUAGCUUCAAAAGCUUCAUUUACAGAGCUCCAGCUUCAAAGCUUCAUUUGCAAAGCUUCACCUAACAAAGCUUCAGUGCAAGGUAUACAAAUACCGCCUCCGAACAACCGCCACUUCGGCCCACACAUGAAUUCAAUUUGAAGUUUUCAGUCAAAAGACUCUAUUGACCGAAGACUUGGGGGACUACAUUAUGUACCAUAUAUUGGGCCUCAACUAGGCCUCAUGAAAAAUACUUGGAGGACUUAGCUCAUCAUUUAUGUAUUGAGGAGCGAGUCCUUACUCUAUAAAAGGGACUCCUUCACCGUCAUUAGAGAGCAUCAACUCUAGCACAUUAUUCAUGUAUUGAGGAGCGAGCCCUUACUCUAUAAAAGGGACUCAUUCACCAUCAUUAGAGAGCAUCAUCACCUACUGAGCAACCGCCUCGCCACGAGCAUCAACUCUAGCCCAUCAUUUAUGUACUGAGGAACGAACCUUUAUUCUAUAAAAAGGACUCCCUCACCAUCAUUAGAGAGUAUCUCCGCCUACUAAGCUACCGCCUCGCCGCGAGCAUCAACUCUAGCCCAUCAUUUAUGUACUGAGGAACGAGCCUUUAUUCUAUAAAAGGGACUCCCUCACCAUCAUUAAAGAGCAUCAAGUCUAGCCCAUCAUUCAUGUAUUGAGGAGCGAGCCCUUAUUCUAUAAAAGGGACUCCCUCACUUUCAAACGCCGCAAGCCGAGCCAACCAAGGCAACAUAAGCCACGAGCCGAGCAGCCUCGCAACGUGUGCUACUUCUAGUUGAGCGUCAUUUCAGAUUGAGCAUUGCCUCAUAUCGAGCAUCAGUUCAAGACAGCAUCUAGUUACUUCGGCCCACACAUGGACUGAAUUUCAAGUCUCCAGCCAAAAGACUCCCUUGACUGAAAACUUGGGGGACUACUGUUUAUACCAUAUUUAGGGCCUCGUAUUUAGACCUCGUAUAAAUACUCGAGGGACUUAAAUGUAAUUAUGUAAUAAAGGAAGGGGCAAAUAUGUAAUUAGGGGAGGAGCCCUUAUUCUAUAAAAGGGCAUCUUCACCUUCACAAACCGAAGGCCUCUCCUAUCUAGAGCAAAGCUCUCACACUUUCAGAGCUCUCUCUCCCCCUCACUUCUCAGAGAAAUAUAAUACAAUCAGUGUGGACGUAGCCCAAACCUUGGGGUGAACCACGAUACAUCUUGUGUCAUUUACAUUUCAUGCAGAUUCACG